AGUGAACGCUGGCGGCAUGCUUUACACAUGCAAGUCGAACGGCAGCGCGGUAUUCGCCCUGGUGGCGGGUGGCGGACGGGCGGGUAAUGCAUCGGAACAUGCCCAUUUGUGUUUUCUAGGGGGACGACGGCCGGAUUCAUACCGCAUUACACCUGACGACGUAAGCGGGGGAGCGGGAGACCUUCCGCUAUUGCACCGGCCGAUGUCGGAUUAGCUAGUUGGCGGGGUAAAGGCGUACCAAGGCGACGAUCCGUAGCUGGUCUGAGAGGAUGACCAGCCACACUGGGACUGAGACACGGCCCAGACUCCUACGGGAGGCAGCAGUGGGGAAUAUUGGACAAUGGGGGCAAGCCUGAUCCAGCCAUGCCGCGUGGGGGAAGAAGGCCUUCGGGUUGUAAAGCGCUUUUGUUCGGGAAGAAAUCCUGCAGGCUAAUACCCCGGUGGGAUGACGGUACCCAAAGAAUAAGCACCGGCUAACUUCGUG
rnacentral:rRNA from 1 species